AGGUUAAAUGGAGGGCGAAGGACCAGGGUGAACUAUGUGUUUGGGAGUUUGCGGGUGGUGGUUGGAGCCAACCGGUCAUUGCCCGUUCUCUCGGCCAUGGUUGAUCCCUUCUUAGCCAAACAAGCACUCUGAAUUUUCUAGAGAAUUCGACGUCUAUUGGAAUUUUCUAGAAAUUCUCUUUCCCAUUCUUUUCAUCAAAUCAGAAUCAUGGGUAUGGAUACAUCACCAUCUUACAUUCCAAGGAUAAUGUAUAAAACCGUACAACAAGGUGAAGGUGAGUAUCCCAGUUGAAACAAGCCAAAGAAACUGUGAAAGAAAGAGAAAUUAUCCUCCUUGUCCCUUGUGACAAGUGAAGAACUAUGUCCUUACUUCCAUCAAUGAUCAAAGAGAGGGGGCGUUGAAAUUUAACAAGUUUAAGAAAUUUUCUCUUGGGCUGCUCAACUGUUAACUAACCCCUCCAAACAAGAGACGUUGUGUUACUUAUCAUGCAACAGCAGCAAAAAGAGCUUCCAAAGAAGGGCCAAAAGGGAUAUGGGUAGAUCGUUGUAAAUCAUAUGCAAGCAAGAGUACAAGACCUGGCCUACGCUCAUUUAUCAGGCUGCAUAACCUGCCCAUUUCCGUAGAUCUCUAAUAAGCAUUGAAGUAUGAAGUCCGAAAAGUUCCAGCGAAGACGAUCGGCUGGAAAUAUCGACCCCGUUCGCCUGUCGGUAAGGUAAUUGAUGGGACAGAGAAUGGACUUGAGAUUUGCGGACAUGGGAUUUUUAUUCAAGUUGACAGAAUGACGAUACUCAAAGGUUGCACCUUGAUUCUGUCUGCCAAAAAAGGUUUAGCUAUCCCGGGGUGGAAUCCGAAGAAAAUGGCGAAUACCAAUCUUUUUGCGAAUCGAUUCCCAUCGAUCUCGUUCACAAAUAUCUAGCAGAAUCACGAAAAUGCUCGGUUGGUUGGCUUUAAAAUUUCUGAAGUUCGCUGCUUGCCACGUCUUCUUUUUGGUUUCGUGAAUGAAAUUAGUUUGUUCGUUUUAGCCAAGUGACUAUGGAUCUUGUUCCAGACAUGGAAUUAGAUAUUAAUCGAAUCGGCGGCUUGGGGAUCGUUUCUCGACGUUUUGGAUACGAGCCUCUUCAAACAGGGCUUAUUGCUAUUGUUUCAAUGAUUCCGAUAGGACGUGGUCAGCGAGGAUUACGUAUAAAAGAUCUUGCAAACGGGUUUUGUUAAUUACGAUUUCUAGAUCAAUUUAAAUGUUAGAACUUGUUUUGAUGUAAAACCUAUAUCGGUAUUUGUAGUAAUUGUAUCAAUAUAAUUAAUAUAUUAAAUAUUUACGAGAUCAAGAAA